GACGUAGGGCGCGAGCGUUGUCCGGAUUUAUUGGGCGUAAAGAGCUCGUAGGCGGCUUGUCGCGUCGUCCGUGAAAACUUGGGGCUCAACCCCAAGCUUGCGGUCGAUACGGGCAGGCUAGAGUUCGGUAGGGGAGACUGGAAUUCCUGGUGUAGCGGUGAAAUGCGCAGAUAUCGGGAGGAACACCGGUGGCGAAGGCGGUUCUCUGGGCCUUACCUGACGCUGAGGAGCGAAAGCGUGGGGAGCGAACAGG
rnacentral:rRNA from 1 species